GAUGAACGCUGGCGGCGUGCCUAAUACAUGCAAGUCGAGCGAACAGACGAGGAGCUUGCUCCUCUGACGUUAGCGGCGGACGGGUGAGUAACACGUGGAUAACCUACCUAUAAGACUGGGAUAACUUCGGGAAACCGGAGCUAAUACCGGAUAAUAUAUUGAACCGCAUGGUUCAAUAGUGAAAGACGGUUUUGCUGUCACUUAUAGAUGGAUCCGCGCCGCAUUAGCUAGUUGGUAAGGUAACGGCUUACCAAGGCAACGAUGCGUAGCCGACCUGAGAGGGGGAUCGGCCACACUGGAAGUGAGACACGGUCCAGACUCCUACGGGAGGCAGCAGUAGGGAAUCUGCCGCAAUGGGCGAAAGCCUGACGGAGCAACGCCGCGUGAGUGAUGAAGGUCUUCGGAGCGGAAAACUCUGUUAUUAGGGGAGAACAAAUGUGUAAGUAACUAUGCACGUCUUGACGGUACCUAAUCAGAAAGCCACGGCUAACUACGUG
rnacentral:rRNA from 1 species